rnacentral:rRNA from 1 species
GAUGAACGCUGACAGCAUGCUUAACACAUGCAAGUCAACUGUGGCGGACAGGUGAGUAACGCGUAAAGAACUUGCCUCACAGAUAGGGACAACAUUUGGAAACGAAUGCUAAUACCUGAUACUGUGGGAGAGCUUUGCGUCCCAUUAGCUAGUUGGGGAGGUAGCGGCUCACCAAGGCGAUGAUGGGUAGCCGGCCUGAGAGGGUGAUCGGCCACAAGGGGACUGGGAAACGGCCCGUACUCCUUCGGGAGGCAGCAGUGGAAAAUAUAGGAAAAAGGGCCAAAGUCUGAUCCAGGAAUUCGGUGUGUACGAUGAUGUUUUCGGAAUGUAAAGUGCUUUCAGUUGGGAAGCGGUACCAACAGAAGAAGCGACGGCUAAAUACGUGCCAGCAGCCGCGGUAAUUC